CCGCGUGAGUGAUGAAGGUUUUCGGAUCGUAAAGCUCUGUUGUUAGGGAAGAACAAGUGCGAGAGUAACUGCUCGCACCUUGACGGUACCUAACCAGAAAGCCACGGCUAACUACGUGCCAGCAGCCGCGGUAAUACGUAGGUGGCAAGCGUUGUCCGGAAUUAUUGGGCGUAAAGGGCUCGCAGGCGGUUUCUUAAGUCUGAUGUGAAAGCCCCCGGCUCAACCGGGGAGGGUCAUUGGAAACUGGGAAACUUGAGUGCAGAAGAGGAGAGUGGAAUUCCACGUGUAGCGGUGAAAUGCGUAGAGAUGUGGAGGAACACCAGUGGCGAAGGCGACUCUCUGGUCUGUAACUGACGCUGAGGAGCGAAAGCGUGGGGAGCGAACAGGAUUAGAUACCCUGGUAGUCCACGCCGUAAACGAUGAGUGCUAAGUGUUAGGGGGUUUCCGCCCCUUAGUGCUGCAGCUAACGCAUUAAGCACUCCGCCUGGGGAGUACGGUCGCAAGACUGAAACUCAAAGGAAUUGACGGGGGCCCGCACAAGCGGUGGAGCAUGUGGUUUAAUUCGAAGCAACGCGAAGAACCUUACCAGGUCUUGACAUCCUCUGACAACCCUAGAGAUAGGGCUUUCCCUUCGGG
rnacentral:rRNA from 2 species